rnacentral:rRNA from 1 species
AUGGCUUCGUGCAGUAGCGGCAGUUGGCUCAGAGGUAGUGGUCUACAGCAAAGAGGAAGCAGUUCAGAGGGGGGAAAACAACACUUGGUCAUGGGACGGAGGCAACCUGCGAUCAGGGGAAGCAGCAAUGACACAGAGCUAGCGCAGGCCACCAGCGAUGGCGUCAACGACCCUCCUUGCCGCACCGUGCAUCAGCUGCUCUGCUCCCGUACCUAUGCGAUGCCACACACGCAGGCGAGCUGCAGCUCAAGAAAGGGAGGGUGGGGAGGAGCAGUAACCAGGAAAGACAAACCGCACUACACUUCGCGCCCAAAGAUUGCACACACGCACCCGCCCGCUCUAGACACGCCCGCACCACACUGCACUCCGAUCCCACGCCAACGGACCGCGACGUGCAAUACAGCAAACUGCACGACCAUGUCGCGGAUUAAACAGCGAGGCGAGUGGAGCACUGCUCGAGGGAUCUAG